CCUGAACGCUGGCGGCGUGGCUAAGACAUGCAAGUCGCACGGGUGUAGCAAUACAUCAGUGGCGCACGGGUGAGUAAUGUAUCGCUAAUGUACCCCGGAGCUUGGGAUAGCUGCCCGAAAGGGCAGGUAAUACCAGAUGAUAUAACCUUGUCGCAUGGCAGGGUUCUCAAAGCAGCAAUGCACUCUGGGAGCAGGCGAUAUCGUAUCAGCUAGUUGGUGAGGUAACGGCUCACCAAGGCGAUGACGCGUAGCUGGUCUGAGAGGACGACCAGCCACAUCGGGACUGAGACACUGCCCGGACUCCUACGGGGGGCUGCAGUAACGAAUCUUCCGCAAUGCACGAAAGUGUGACGGAGCGACGCCGCGUGUAGGAUGAAGUCCUUCGGAGUGUAACGUACUAGUCAGGGUAAGGAAGUUACGUGAUCUACCCACGAGGAAGAGGCGGCGUAACUACUGUGCCAGCA
rnacentral:rRNA from 1 species